rnacentral:rRNA from 1 species
CAGUCGACGAAGAGGUUAGAAUGAGAGCUUCGGCAGGAUUUCUUUCCAUCUUAGUGGCGGACGGGUGAGUAACGUGUGGGCAACCUGCCCUGUACUGGGGAAUAAUCAUUGGAAACGAUGACUAAUACCGCAUGUGGUUCUCAGAAGGCAUCUUCUGAGGAAGAAAGGAUUUAUUCGGUACAGGAUGGGCCCGCAUCUGAUUAGCUAGUUGGUGAGAUAACAGCCCACCAAGGCGACGAUCAGUAGCCGACCUGAGAGGGUGAUCGGCCACAUUGGGACUGAGACACGGCCCAAACUCCUACGGGAGGCAGCAGUGGGGAAUAUUGCACAAUGGGCGAAAGCCUGAUGCAGCAACGCCGCGUGAAGGAUGAAGGGUUUCGGCUCGUAAACUUCUAUCAAUAGGGAAGAAACAAAUGACGGUACCUAAAUAAGAAGCCCCGGCUAACUACGUGCCAGCAGCCGCGGUAAUACGUAGGGGGCAAGCGUUAUCCGGAAUUACUGGGUGUAAAGGGAGCGUAGGCGGCAUGGUAAGCCAGAUGUGAAAGCCUUGGGCUUAACCCGAGGAUUGCAUUUGGAACUAUCAAGCUAGAGUACAGGAGAGGAAAGCGGAAUUCCUAGUGUAGCGGUGAAAUGCGUAGAUAUUAGGAA